GAUCAUUUUUAAUUUUUCUAUAAUUUUUUUAUUAUUUUUUUAUUUUGUUUUAAGUGGUUUUUGGCUUCACGGCGAGCAGAACUUUGCGUUCGGAAUGUCGCAAUCCUGAAUCUCAGCGCUCCGGGGGUAAUUCCGGGGUGAUUUCCCUUUUUGUCUGCUCCAAAGGAGCAGUGAAAGGAGGGGGAAGGAGCUGGGGGGGCCCCUCGUGACUCUGAGGAUUGGGAAAGCGAUCAUUCCAGCCAGGAAAUAAACAGGAGUGUUGGGAAAGAGCCCCGGCCCAGGUGUGGAGCAGGUGGUUGGGUUGCUGGGCUGGAGCCUGGCCAGGAGCUCAUUCCUAGUUCAGUUUUCCUCCCCAAAAUUCACUUCCUCACUCACUUUUCCUGCCCAGGAACCUGUUCCUUGCUCUUUUCCUCCCCAAAAUUCACUUCCUCACUCACUUUUCCUGCCCAGGAACCUGUUCCUUGCUCAGUUUUAUUCCCCAAAAUUUGGCUCCUCACUGUUUUCCUCCCCAAAAUUUGGUUCCUUCCUCAGUUUUCCUCCCCAGAAUUUGGUUCCUCCCUCAGUUUUCCUCCCCAAAAUUUGGUUCCUCCCUCAGUUUUCCUCCCCAAAAUUUGGUUCCUCCCUCAGUUUUCCUCCCCAAAAUCCAUUUCUUCCCUCGGUUUUCCUCCCCAGCUGUCUGGCCAGAGCUGGGCUGGGAGGGGAUUUGCCUUUUUUUGCUUUUCCUGCUUGAGCCACGAGCUUUGGGAAGGCUGGGAUGCGAUUCCAGGCCCUGGCAGCUUUUUGUUACUGCACAUCCCGGCUUCCCUGGGCCUUGGGUCCUUCCAGGGUCAAGGAAUUGGGGCUGUCAGUGCUGAUUCCAUGUGUCCAGGUCCUUGCAGGGUUAUGGAAUGGGGGUGUCAGUGGUGAUUCCACAUACUCAGGUCCUUGCAGGGUUAUGGAAUGGGGGUGUCAGUGGUGAUUCCAUGUACUCAGGUCUUUGCAGGGUUAUGGAAUGGGGCUGUCAGUGCUGAUCCCUGUGGCCAGGUCCUUGCAGGGUUAUGGAAUGGGGCUGUCAGUGCUGAUCCCUGUGGCCAGGUCCUUGCAGGGUUAUGGAAUGGGGGUGUCAGUGGUGAUUCCAUGUACUCAGGUCCUUGCAGGGUUAUGGAAUGGGGCUGUCAGUGGUUAUUUCAUGUGUCCAGGUCCUUGCAGGGUUAUGGAAUGGGGCUGUCAGUGCUGAUCAUUGUAUCCAGGUCCUUGCAGGGUUAUGGAAUGGGGGUGUCUGUGGUUAUUCCAUGUGCCCAGGUCCUUGCAGGGUUAUGGAAUAGGGGUGUCAGUGGUGAUCCCUGUGCCCAGGUCCUUGCAGGGUUAUGGAGUGGGGCUGUCAGUGCUGAUCCCCGUGCCCAGGCCCUGCCCAAGCCCUGCCUGGCUCCGGGCACGGCCAGCAGGGAUCGGGAUCAGGAUCGGGGUGUGGGAAUGGGUGUGGGGAGCGCCGCAGAGCCUGAGCUGGAAGCGCUGGAGGAGACUGGGAAUGUCAUCCCGCUUUUCCCUGCGGGUUUCCAGGGAUCUCCAGGGGGAAAAUCCCGCUCGGGGAUGGCAGCAGCGACCUUGGAGGUGCCAGAGGCCGAACCUUGUGCUGGUCCCUGGUGAUUCCCAGGGAGGCGAUUCCCAGUUUGGGAAUGGCGAGGGAUCGGAGGGAUCCUCGCCUUGUGCAAGGUCACUCCUGCUGCUCCUCCCGGAUUUGGGAUUCCCGGCUCUGGGGAGCUUUCCCAGUGCAGGGAAACCGGGAUGAGAUUUUGGGGGGAUUCAGGAAGAGAGAACCCAGGAGCCGCCGUUUUCCAGCGGGAACCGGGGCUGGGAAUGAGCGAGGGCAGAGAUCUGCGGCCGCUCCCGGCUUUUCCCACAUCCCUGCUGGAUCUCGGGGGGCUCUGUUUUCCAUGAUUUUCCCCGGGCAGGAGGAGCAGAAGCCGCUGGCGCUCCAGGAAAUCCCGUCUGGCUCCCACGUCACUCCCUCACCCCAUCCCGGCUCCCUCCUCCCCCAACUCGCUGCUCCCACAUUUCAUUUUAGGCAUUUAUUUUUUUAUUCUUUUUAAGGUGGGAUUUUUUUUUUUUUAAUUUAUUUUUUAUUUUUUCACCCUGAUUCUUUGGAAAACGCAGAACAGCCGCAAAUCUUCCCAGCGGGAAUAACAUCCCAGGAGUCCCGCAGGGCUGUGAGCUCUCCCGGGCCGGGUGGGGAUGGAGCUGCAGAUGGCUCCAGGGCCCGGCUUGGAAAUUUUUCCAUGACUUUUCCUGGCACAUUGCGACUCCCGGUGGGUUGUGCUCUGCCCAGGCGCGACCUUGCCGGGGGAAUACGGCUGAUAUAAAUAAUUUUGGGAAGCUGGAACUCGC